rnacentral:rRNA from 1 species
UACCAGCUCUUCGAGUGGUGUGGAUGUUUAUUGGGCCUAAAGCAUCCGUAGCUGGCUGGGCAAGUCCCCUGUUAAAUCCACCGAUUUAAGCGUUGGAGUGCGGGGGAUACUGUUCGGCUAGGGGACGGGAGAGGCAGACGGUAUUUUCGGGGUAGGGGUGAAAUCCUAUAAUCCCGAGAAGACCACCAGUGGCGAAGGCUGUCUGCUAGAACGUGCCCGACGGUGAGGGAUGAAAGCUGGGGGAGCGAACCGGAUUAGAUACCCGGGUAGUCCCGGCUGUAAACGAUGCAGGCUAGGUGUUUGGACGGCCACGUGCCGUUCUAGUGCCGCAGGGAAGCCGUUAAGCCUGCCGCCUGGGGAGUACGGCCGCAAGGCUUAAACUUAAAGGAAUUGGCGGGGGAGCACCACAAGGUGUGAAGCUUGCGGUUU